GGAUUUCAUGUGCCAGGGUGAAGGGUUUUACUGAUGAAAUUUAUUUGUGGAAAAUUCUUAUUUGUUGAGAGAAUACAAUGAUGAAGUGAAAUCAUAGGUUCAUCAUCAUAUUCACAACAUGAAGUACAUAACACUUGUUGUUAGGUGCCUCACUAUUUCAAUUUUUUUUUUCAGUACUAGAAUUUUAUUUUUUAAUUACAAAUCUACCAUACUAAUUUUUGCUGAGUGGAUUGUCAUCGAAAUGUCUAGUCCAAUUUCACAUUUAGAAGCCUAAGCAAUGCUGAAAAGUUCUUUGGGAUGGUUUGGCUUGUUUUAAAAGCUGUUCCAUGUUUUUACAUGUUGACAUUGUAAACCUAACUAGAAACAUCCCAUUAACUUAUUAUCAAAAAUAAAUUUAAAAUUGAUUGGCUGACAUUUGAUUUCAUAUUGAUUGUUAAUGGAUC
rnacentral:misc_RNA from 1 species